rnacentral:lncRNA from 1 species
CCUCCCACCUAUUGGACUAGUCUUUUGGGUUGGGCUCUUCCCUUGGGCUUGAGUACCUAACAUUGGUAUCAGAGCCUAGGUGCCCGAUGCUGCGAGUCUUGGUGACGUGACGUGCCGCCUCGUGAUUACCGCCUUGGGAGUAUGGGCUCCAAGGGACUUGGUGACGAGGGACUGGGCGACGUGAUUACCGCCGUGGGCGUCGGGUC